rnacentral:tRNA from 2 species
GCCUCGGUAGUGUAGUCCGGCCAAUCAUAAAGCCCUCUCGAGGCUUUGACCCGGGUUCGAAUCCCGGCCGAGGCA